GAUUCUGGUCAGGAUGAACGCUGGCGGCGUGCUUAACACAUGCAAGUCGAACGAGGCACCUUGCGGAAGUUUCGGAUGGAAGCGGAGGCGACCGAGUGGCGGACGGGUGAGUAACGCGUGGGGAACCUGCCCAUUCCGGGGGAUACCAGUUGGAAACGACUGUUAAUACCGCAUAAGCGCACGGAAGGACAUCCUUUUGUGUGAAAAAACUGAGGUGGAAUGGGAUGGCCCCGCGUCUGAUUAGCCAGUUGGCAGGGUAACGGCCUACCAAAGCGACGAUCAGUAGCCGGCCUGAGAGGGCGACCGGCCACAUUGGGACUGAGACACGGCCCAAACUCCUACGGGGGGCAGCAGUGGGGAAUAUUGCACAAUGGGGGAAACCCUGAUGCAGCGACGCCGCGUGAGUGAAGAAGUAUUUCGGUAUGUAAAGCUCUAUCAGCAGGGAAGAAGAUGACGGUACCUGCACAAGAAGCCCCGGCUAACUACGUGCCAGCCGCAGC
rnacentral:rRNA from 1 species